ACGUAGGGGGCAAGCGUUGUCCGGAAUGAUUGGGCGUAAAGGGCGCGUAGGCGGCCAACUAAGUCUGGAGUGAAAGUCCUGCUUUUAAGGUGGGAAUUGCUUUGGAAACUGGAUGGCUUGAGUGCAGGAGAGGUAAGCGGAAUUCCCGGUGUAGCGGUGAAAUGCGUAGAGAUCGGGAGGAACACCAGUGGCGAAGGCGGCUUACUGGACUGUAACUGACGCUGAGGCGCGAAAGUGUGGGGAGCAAACAG
rnacentral:rRNA from 1 species